rnacentral:rRNA from 1 species
AGAGUUUGAUCCUGGCUCAGAAUCAACGCUGGCGGCGUGCCUAACACAUGCAAGUCGAACGAGAAAGUGGAGCAAUCCAUGAGUAAAGUGGCGCACGGGUGAGUAACACGUGACUAACCUACCCUUGAGUGGGGAAUAACCUCGGGAAACCGGGGCUAAUACCGCAUAAUACCUUCGGGUCAAAGGAGCAAUUCGCUUAAGGAGGGGGUCGCGGCUGAUUAGCUAGUUGGUGGGGUAAUGGCCUACCAAGGCAAUGAUCAGUAUCCGGCCUGAGAGGGCGCACGGACACACUGGAACUGAAACACGGUCCAGACUCCUACGGGAGGCAGCAGUGGGGAAUUUUGCACAAUGGGGGAAACCCUGAUGCAGCAACGCCGCGUGGAGGAUGAAGUCCCUUGGGAUGUAAACUCCUUUCGACCGGGACGAUAAUGACGGUACCCGGUAGAAGAAGCCCCGGCUAACUCUGUGCCAGCAGCCGCGGUA